rnacentral:rRNA from 1 species
GACGUAGGGCGCGAGCGUUGUCCGGAUUUAUUGGGCGUAAAGAGCUCGUAGGCGGUUUGUCGCGUCGUCCGUGAAAACUCACAGCUUAACUGUGAGCUUGCGGUCGAUACAGGCAGGCUAGAGUUCGGUAGGGGAGACUGGAAUUCCAGGUGUAGCGGUGAAAUGCGUAGAUAUCUGGAGGAAUACCGGUGGCGAAGGCGGCAUCCUGGACCGACAUUGACGCUGAGGAGCGAAAGCUAGGGGAGCAAACGGG